GUCACGAUCAGUCUAAGGUUGAAAUCUGGAUGGUCUUUUUGCCAGACGCGCUGGUUCGAGUCCAGCUCGUGACA